GUAAGAGUUUGCUUGUGUGCUAUUUCAAAUUACUUAUGUAUAUACUGUAUGAUUGAGUCAUACUGAAUGAUUCAUUCAUAUAGUUGCUUAACCGAUUCAUUCGAAAACACUGAUUCAAACGCCAUUACAGUGUUUGGGGAUAUUUUGGCUGGCAAAGAAAGACUAGACAAUGUAACUGCUAAAUGUGUCUGAAACUCACAGUUGUAUCUCUUUCAUUGCAAUGGCUGCAGGAACAGUCCCCCUGGAGCAACCCGGGGUUAAAGACUUCUCAGGAACUCUCCAAUUAUAUUCGAGCAGCAAUUAAACUGACAAAGUAUCACCAAGUAUGCCAUUUUCUCAAGUCUCUUUUCGACUAUUACCUUUCAUGCAGUGUGUCAUGUAGCUGUAUGUGAACAUAAACUAUCUGCAAAGUUGUGAAGCCGACAGUGCACAAUAGAUAAAAGUUAUUAUCUGUAUAAAAAAAAAGAAAAAAAAAAAAGAAUCAACUCGCAAUUACCGAAACAAGUCGUCAGGAAUUUGAAUCUUAUUCUGUUACGGCUCUACGUCACAAAGUAACACAUUUGCAUAAUGUCCGCCCACGUUUUAGGUCGCCAACUUGCCUGCCCACAAACACAGUAAAAUUUUUAUGUGAUUAACAUCAUUUCGA